GCCCCCAUCGUCUAGAGGCCUAGGACAUUUCCCUUUCACGGAAGUAACAGGGAUUCGAAUUCCCUUGGGGGUA
rfam:Micromonas sp. RCC299 chloroplast, complete genome.